GUCUAGUGAGAUCCCUUUGCAACUCUGCACAGUCUGCCUUGGACGUAACUGUCCUGAGUGAUUUUACGGCUAACGUCUCUGUGAGCAUCUGCCGUGCACAUAGCAGUGCUGAUGUGGGGUAUCUGUUGGAGGGGGAAGUGAAAGUCCUGUGCAAUGUGUUAUCGACAGUGUUGUGAGCAGUAGCAAGGUGGACAGGAACACACAAUUUUUUCCAGCUAAGCUUCUUAUCUCCGUGCUGCUAAGGUUUCGGGCGGCUGGGGCGUGUCUCGAUACCAUUCGUCGUAGUUUUCCUUUGUUGCUAUAAUGUUUAUUGCCCUGGUUCACGAAGGUCUCACAGUCCUUCAGAGCCCCGCUGUCCUCCGAGCGUCCCCUGGCGAGACCGUGACACUCAACUGCUCCUUCGAGAACAGACAGGGCAGCAUGGCCAGAGCGACCUGGACAAGAGCGCCUGGAGUCGUGCUGGAUUCUGCCCAUCCCUUCUACAACGGGCGGCUCAAUGUGUCCCACCUGGAUCUGCUCCAGAAAGGGGAGGCCAUGCUGACCCUGUCGGAGCUGGAGCAGCGGGACUCUGGUCUCUACCAGUGUCAGAUCAGCAUCCACCAGGGAGAGAGCGGGACAGGAGCAGGCACCGAGCUGCAGGUGAUGGGGAGAAACCAGAGUGACACAGGUGAGGUGGGGAAUGGGGGCACGGGGCCUUCCCCCUCUCUGGCCGCAGGGCAGGGGACUGGCUGGCUCAAGGGGCUGAGAAUCCCCUAACAGUCCUCUCCAUCGUCCAGGUGAAGAACCUGCUCCCGCAGGGAGCUGCUCCUGGGAGCUCCUGUACCAGGUCGCCAUCGCCCUGGGGCUCCUUCUAUUCCUUGGCCUGGCGGCCACCCUCCUCCUGAAGAGACGCCAAGCGCCGCCCCACUCGCAGCCUCGCCGACAGCAGCUGAAGGGCCAGGGCAGCCGGGAGGCCGUGGAGAGCGAGAGCCUGCACUACGCAGAGAUUACAGUCCAGACCCCAGGAGGCAGGGAACACACGUCCAACCACGCCCAGCGACGCUGAGUCCCUCCGCACCCAGCACUACCUGAGUCCCUCACACUCAGCGCCACGCAGCCACGAGGAAAUUCCCCACAGGAGGAGACGCUCACAGGGUUUGAGGGACAGCAGAAGAAAUCUAUCGGCAUGAAGGUCCAUGUGAACCCCAACAAAACCCAGCUCGCCCUCUCUACGGCAAGGAAUAAUCUACUAGGGCAUGGUCUUAUCCUCAGGAAAUGCCUUCUCCGGGGACGCCUGAAGUAUAACUAUAUCAUGUCUCAAUCCGUUAUUUCCCUGUCCUCUCUGGAGUGAUUGCAACGCCUCCCCAUGGAGCAUGACCAGGUGGGGGUAAUUAACGCAGUGUCUGGUCCCUCUUCCUAACUGAGCUCCAAGAGAAACGCUAGCCCACGUCAGCAUCGUGUGGGCGGUGGAAUCGGUCUGAGUGACCAACGUGACAGCUCCAGCAGGCUGGAGUUGCUCAAAGAAAGUUUUUUGUUUGUUUGUUUGUUUUUUAAUUAAAUCAUUUCUUUGUGUGAAAAAUUGUCUGUUUUCAGACUUUUUUGAAAAAAUGUGUUGGGUAAAAACUUUUCCUUUUCUCCAUCACUUCUCUCUUCUCUUCAGUCCCCUAGUGAUGUUCCAAAAUCUUACCACCAUUUUUUAAAAUUU